AAGUUCCUUUCACUACAGACGAACAAACGGGGGUGGGGGUGGGGAUAGCAAGCCGUUUCCUUUUUUCGUGAAAAGAGCAGCAGAGUUUUGUCAUGCAACUUGGUUUGGUGCCUGUUAGUGUCAAUGUAAGAACAGCCGAGUCCGCGAAGGUGGCUGUUACCAUUCCACAGACCUGCGGCAAGGACUGUCAAUCCGAUUCAGCAAAUAACCCCACCACUCCAAGCCAGGACUCCAGAGCUGCCCUGUGUGGUAUCUCAGCAAGGAAAGCCAACAAAGCUGGUGGACACAGGCAGAUCGUAGCCCACCGCCUGUGAGUGGAGACUCCGAGCCGACUUGACCUCCUCCCCGGAGGGACCGGCCCGAUCUGAAAGGGCGGUCUCCAAGGGUCCCCAUCCCGCACCACGCACACAGCCUGGGGCAACUAAAGAGGAAGUCGGGAUGUCACAUCCAACGGAUAAAGACAGCCCCGCCACACAAGAGCCGCAUUCUGGGCAGGACUCCUGCUAGGCUUGGGAAGGGGUCCCAGUCUGCGAUCCUUUCUCCCUCUACGUGCAGCGUCCUCCUCCCGGGGUCGCGGGCUGGUGGCGCCCACUCAACGCGGCGCGGUGGGAGUCCCGGGAGCACCCCGAGCCUCCGGCCCCCUCCCCGGCCCCGCCGGGCCCGCGGCCGCCGCACUCCCGCACCUCGCGCCCCGGCUGCCCAGCGCCCGCGGGCCCUGCCCCGGACUCCGGCACGCAGUUCCGACGGCCCAGGGCGGGGACGGCGCCGCGGAGGGGAGCCGCCGCCGCGGGCUCUCGGAGGCACCGGCGGCCGCGCACACUCCUCCCCUUCGCCGUGAGUAAACAGCUCGCGGGCGCGCUCCAGCCGCGCCCCCAUCCCCCCGCCGGGCUCCGCGCCGCCCUGCGCCCGCGCGUCCCGCCCGCCGGCGCCGCCGCCCCCUACCUGGUCGGCUGAGCGAGUACUGGGAAAAAAGGAAAUACCCAGACAUUUGAGGGAUCACUGACACUGCUUCUGAAUUAAUGCUAAUUCCUGAGGAUUGCAAAUACCACUGGAUCCACCAAUCAAAAUGGGGAUCUCUGAAGCAGCUGACCUGGAAGGAUGAUGGAGUUCUACUGAAGACUUGAGUUCCGGCACCAGUUGGGAAAUAGCACACUAAAAUGGUGAAGUUACCUCUUGGAGGAUACAGAAAAUGCUUUGAGUCAGGAGUCAGUACAUAGUACUGCUUCCCCCAAAAUACAAGAAAAAUCGGAUAUCAUCAAGUGACUCUUCAGCCAACAACUGUUCGAGAAUGCUGUUAACAUCAUGUGUAGGAAUGCUACAUUUUCUAGAAUUUGACAUUUUCAGUGAUUGAGAAUUACUAUAUUUUGUAAAUGGAAAUGCCACUACUAGAAACAGAAUGCUAUAAAUAGAAUGACGUCUUUUGUUUGCAAGGUUGAUAUGUUAGAGCAAUGCAAAAGUAAUAAAAGUGAGAUUUUUCGUGGCAAAGUUAUCUCAGGGUAAACACCGCAUCCACAAAGUGCUGCUGACGCAUAUUCUUGGGGCAAACAGGAAAAUGUUAUUUCUGUUAAAAUAAUGUAGGUUGGGCCGGGCGCGGUGCUCACACUUGUAAUCCCAGCACUUUGGGCGGCUGAGGCUGGUGGAUCACUUGAGGUCAAGAGUU